AUCCAGCUGACGAGUCCCAUAUAGUACGAAACGCGCAUCCUGGAU
rnacentral:hammerhead_ribozyme from 1 species